UUGCGCAUCGCCGAGAGAGAAAAAAAAGGACGACCCUCGGAGGCGGCCGCGGCCGCGAGCGAGGUGGCGGCGCUCAAGCUGAAGCUCAAGGCGGCGCUGUACGGGACGGAGCGCGGCCUGCGCGCCUCCAGCGAGACGCGGGCGGAGGUGGUCGAGCUCAUCACGCAGCUCGAGGCGCGCAACCCCACGCCGGCGCCCACCGAGGCGCUCACCCUCCUCAACGGCAAGUGGAUCCUCGCGUACACAUCAUUUUCGCAAUUGUUCCCACUGUUGGGGUCUGGAAGGCUACAAGCUCUUGUCAAGGUGGAUGAAAUAUCACAGACUAUUGAUUCCGAGAACUUUGCGGUGCAGAACUGCAUCAAGUUUUCAGGACCUUUGGCGUCAACUUCAGUGUCCACCAAUGCCAAAUUUGAAAUUAGAAGCCCCAAACGUGUACAGAUCAAAUUCGAAGAAGGCAUCAUUGGCACUCCGCAGCUGACCGAUUCCAUCGUACUGCCAGAGAAGUUUGAAUUAUUUGGACAGAACAUUGACCUGAGCCCGUUGAGCGGCAUAUUUACUUCGAUCGAGAAUGCAGCGUCCUCCGUCGCCAAGACCAUCUCCGGUCAGCCCCCACUGAAGAUACCUUUCAGGAGCGAGAGCGCUGGGUCCUGGCUGCUCACAACCUACCUUGAUGCUGAGCUUAGAAUCUCCAGAGGAGAUGGCAGCAGCAUCUUUGUGCUGUUCAAGGAAGGAAGCGCACUCUCGAUAUAG
rnacentral:rRNA from 1 species